GCGAAGGAGGUAAGGCUCCGCUAGCGUGUCUCCAACGAGCGCGAGAGGAUCUUGCUCACGAAACCUCGACCUGGUGGAUCUUGCUCGUCCUCCAUCUAGAGCCUCAUCGGCCGGAGCAAUCGGAAAGGAGUAGGGGACGUGGGUCGUCGGCCAGAGUAGGUGGGGAAGAGCAGAUGCCAGCGAGGGGAGUGGCUCGGCUUGGUGUUAUCAACUCCCCACUGGCCAUCUUCGUCUCCUAGCCACAACCAGCUCCUACCCCUCCCCUGUUGUGGUCCCGUGAGAGCAAGAAAAACAGCAGGCGUGCUCUAUCUCUGCAUCGAGCGUCCACAUGGCCAGAUUGACGGGAAUAAACUCUAGUCUCAGGUCCGCCUUGCAGAUGUUGUCAGGAUUGCCUGCCCGUCGACGAUGGAAAAAGAGAAAGGUGCCCAAGAUCGAUGAGGGGCGUAGAGUGCAAUCUGGUCUCCAUGUUAGUGGUUCGAGCGGAAAACCUCAUCUUCUAUGUCACUGAGGUAUUUUAUCUAUCGCUGGUGAACCUUAUUGGUGUUGGUUUACCCUAUUGUUCUACUACUAUUUCCCUAUUACCGAUUUUUUUACUUCAGAGUUUACAUUGCGACCUUUUCUUGAUGUGAACAAUAUGUUCUCGAAAGGUCAGUUGAGAAGACCAUAUAUAUUGUUGAUUUCCAAUCGGUUACACUCAUCCUUACACUACAACAUAUGCCUUAAUAUAGAUGGUUGUCCAGAUACGUCGUCUUUGAAUAAUUUAUUGAGAAAUACAGUUCUUUACCAUUGCAUUAUCAUGUUUCAUCUCUUUUUGUGGAAGACUAUCUAAUUUUUCUAUGCAGAAAUAUUUCCAAUCAUCUUCAGAAUUAUGGAGAGUAUAUACGUAAGCCUUAUUUGGCUCAUUUGUUUUAUUGCAAAAACAUUCAGCAGCAUUUUUCAAAACCCUGGAACAGCACAGACAUAAGCAAGCAAACAGAUCACAUUUUUAGUGCACUUUGAAUAUAAGACCAUCCACCGUGGUUAUUUUUUUGUAGUCAUGCUCUACGGAAUGCAAUAUCUUGCAUGUUACAAAGAUAAGAGAACAUUACUGAUACAAUAUUGUGGGAUUUUUAGGUUCUUUUUGUAUAUAAAUUGUGCCUGCAGUAUUUUCUCAUUAUUGAGUUUGUUAGCAUGCUUACAUUCUUCAUUAUUCAGUAAACUUCUUACAGAUUUUAGCUUUAUCAUUCUGUUAUUCCAUGGAGGUGAAGGACUACUUUCCAACCCCGUGUGAGGCGCCAUUUUAGUUUUUUUUUUCUUUUCGGAUGUACAUGAAUAUACUGUCUGGUUUGGCAAUGUAGAGUUAGUCUGUGUUUUCAUGAGAGGUGUAUAGAUGAUACCUACUACUAGAAUUGUAAAAGAGAUGUAACAAAGGUUCUCCAGGUUGCUGUUGUUGCGCUUUGUGAAAAUUUUCUUUCUGCCACUCUAUGGUUGACUACUUACAGUGUUUUUUUUGCUGAUUUUUUUCCAUUACACUCAGGUAGUGCAGCUUUUAGCUAUAGUGAAAUCUGUCAUGGCACUAUUUUCUUGACUAACCCAGGAGUGCCGAAUGCUUCAGAUUUUAUAUUGUGCCAUUGUACACUGGAAAUGUUUGGUUUUGUGAUGAUGUGAUUGGAAUUUGGGAGUCAAGUUUAUUCCGAUGUUCAAAAGAAGGUAGCUCAAGGUAAGUUAGCUCAGAAGCUUUAGUGUGAAGAUGCUAAUACUGUGCAUGGGUCUAUGUUCCUGUUGUAUGUACAAUGUCCUGCUGCUACUGGAUUUCACAACUGACGUUUAUUUUCCUAGCUUAUUAUUGUACUGCUCACAUUGUUGCUAUAUGAGCCAAGAUUUAUGGGUAUGGGUACUAAAUGUUCUUGCAACACUGCGGAUUUGCUGAAACAAUAAUAAGCGUAAAAACUUCUUAUGUACAAUUAGUCUACUGUAUGGCCAAUUUCUGUGAAAAGUGUGCGGUCUUAUAUUUGGUGGAUAUUAUCUAUGAAAAAUAGAAGUAGGCUAUCUUGCCCUGCUGGUGCCAUUGUUUUUCUCAGAGGUACACGCUUUUAGCAUUUAGGUACGUAAUUUAGUUAUACUAUUGUUUGUUUAAGUUUAAUUGAACCUGCAUAUUGUCUCUACUAUAGUUUAUGUAUUUGUUAUCCUUCAUUAAGGUAUUUUGACUCAAUAGAAGCAGGACCUGUGCCUUUUGUCCUCGCUGAUGACAACCCCCAGCUAGAUAUUUUUGUCGUCUAUGAUUUCUAUAUGGUUAUGUUUAUGUUCAUAGAUAGGCUCUCAUAUCUCCCUUUUUUGAUUUCUACCUUACGAUGGAGACUUCUUAAAGGACUGUGAAGAGAUGAUUGCUUGGACUGUUCUUGAAAGUGGCGGAAGGAGUUUCGUCAAGUAUUUGAUACCCUAAUUUCUACUCUAAUGACUUCUGGUGGUAUAAUAUGCUCAAGGUUUGCAUACCGUAUACAAGUCAAGCAUAUUACUCCAAUAUCAUUCUACAAAAUAUGUAGCUUGGUGACUGUAUCAGUGAAAGGUUGAGCAAGCUUGGCUUACAUGUCGUGCUGAUUUCAGACUUGGAAGGAGAAGCUAAUUGAGCGUCGUUCUCCAGUUCAGGCAACCACGUUCUGGAGCUACCUGUCAGACUACUACUUUUUUUUAUGAGGGAGUCAGACUACUACUUGAACACGAUGAUUGAAGUGGCACGAUAGUACACAUGUUCAAGAGCUACCUUAACAUGUUCAGCUAACAAUCAUAUAGGCGCCGCGUGCCUAGACAAUCAGAGCUGUACGUUCAGAUUGCAGCCUAGGCAACGGAGAUCUGGCUGCUCUCAACAUCUGAGCCACAAGGUGAAGCGUUUGGCCUUCUUGCAGCGCUCAGGCUACUUAGCAGUGUCACACGAAUAUAUGAUGGUAUUCACCUCAUGAUCAUAACUGCCUGGAUCUGUUUAGAGAACUUCUUCAAUACUAAGGCUUUUCAUAUGCUUAAAAAUGAAACAGCGAUGCAGAAGCAUCAACUGAACUUUAUGAGCUUUUUUUUGCUUCCUGAUGUUCUCUGCAGCACCAUCAAAAAAUAUAGCAGCAGCUGAAUCACGAAAUGUUGCAAUAUAUGUUCCUAAUUUCCAGUGUCA